AAGAGAGAGAACGAGUCAUUCAGCUAAGGAGAGAACCUAGGUGUGAGAUAUGACUUCUCAUCCUGUAGAUUCUGCUCUUAAACCUUGUCAGCUCAACAUCCCUGGAAGUGUCCAAGGUCAGGCUAGCUGGGCCUUUGAACAAGCUGAGGAAGCAGAAGAUAUCCCUGGAUCCGUGUGCAUGAGAGUUUUGAAUAUGGGCUAUGGAAUCAUGGUUUGGUGUCAGCCACAGAGAGAGAGAGCGAUCCCUUCUGGAAAUGGUUUGGGAAUACCAUGGAGGAAGCAGGAGCAUUGGUGAGAUUUUGAAGAUGGAAGAGUGAAACAUGAGGUGCUAAAUCUGAGACUGUGGCUGCUAAAAUGAGCUGCUGAACAUCAGAGAGCAGGAAUUACUGCAUUUCCUGAGAGUGCUGCAGAACCUCUGAGCCUUUUAUUUCUAGUAGUAGAAAUUCACAUGGGUCUAAAGAAGCGUUAGAAUAACAGGUUUUGAAAGCAACAGUUUUUCAUAAAAGCAAAAAUAUAUUUUAUAUGUAUCCUGUGCUCUGUGUUUAUCUGGUUUGCCCAUUCCACGUGCCUUGAGCAGAUAAUGCAGCAGGUCUCAGCUCCCACACCCUCUGCCCUCAGCUACCUCACCUUCCAUCCUGGCUGCUGUGCUGUACAUCAUUUCAAAGGAGCACAGCUGGGUGCUGGACUGUAAUUUCUCAUGCAGCUCAGAUCAAGUCCAUUAGUUUAUUUGAAGGUUAGGACCAAGACCAUGGAAGUGCAUGAGGAGCUAAUAGACAGACUGGUGUUCCUGCUGUGCUCACGGGGGCCUAAACCAGAGAGAAAAUAGUCAGGCACAUGCAUAUUAUUUUCACCUUUUGCUUCACGAUUUGCAGUAGUCUCAUUCAUAAAUGACAAAGAAAUAGCUCCCUGCUGUAAGGUCCUCAUACCACAGAGAGCCAUAAUGAGUUUGUAACGAGAUAGAGAUAAGGAAGAUUUUUUGUGAUUACUCAGACAAAUCUCUGAGUGCAAAUCAGAGAUGUGCUGAGUGAGGGGUAUGUCUUUCCAUCUCUCUCCAUGGCUUAAACAUCUGAGGAUACUUAAGGUAUUCUCAUGGUAUUAUGUAAGAAGAACUCAGUGAGACAAAAAUGUUCUAAAUGCAUCUUUAUGGAUUUCUUGCCUUCUCUGUAUGUCAGAAUCUUUUGUAAUUUGACAGCCACUAGCAGUGAUUAAUGGCUAGCAAUAUGGCUAGGGGCAAUGUAUGUUUCAAAGUCAGUAUCAGGAAAGCCUCUGUGAUCUGGGAAGUCUUUGGCUGUGGAACUGUCUCCUUGUAAAAUCAGAAACAAGUGUUUUGCCUGUGUGCUACUUGAAGAGCUCCAAAUAAAUAGCUGAAAUAUUAAUGAAUAUGAGAGUGA
rnacentral:lncRNA from 1 species